GGAACACAAAGCUCGCGGCGCCCGAGGGGGAAAUAGCAACAAGAUUACGGCUGCUUUAUUCUGGCGAGGAGGCGUAAGAAGGUGCUAAUCCAAGAGAUGGCUAAUUGAGAGCUUGUAAAAAUGAUAUUUGCCGGCAAUUUCGGACAAAGUGGUUUUUCUCUUUUCCCUCUUUAACGCCCUGUGGACAAGAGUAAAAAAAAAAAAUCUCUUAUUUGCUAGAGAGGGAGUGCAACAGGGGAAAAAAACCCCUGCAACAACAACAACAGAAAGAGGAGGAUAAAAAAAAAAUCAAAGGCCACGGACACGACUGACUUCACUCCAGAAAAAGGACUAGAUCCCAGCUUUUAACAUCCCUUUGGAUCCUCCGAGAUUGGUGCGAGCUGACAAACCGCAGCCUCUUUCUCUCGCCCGCAGGAUGCGUGCGGCGGGACGCCCGGCCUCGGCCAGCGGCAACUAGGAGGGGAAGGGGACGGCUCGUCGGGAUUCAGGCACCCACCCUGGAGGGCAGGCACACGGGGCACAGGAAUUCAAGAUCACACAACCAGCAGCUUCAGUGGAGAAAAACUAUUUUGCUGGCAACUCUUUUUAAAGCACCAUCAUUUCAAAUCAGUGCGCUCUUAAACUAUUGACAGGAGCUUUGACAACAAGACAGGAUGCCUCAUAAAGAGGGAAGACUUUAACUAGUGACACGCAGAUGUGCGAGUCCCUAAAUUGUAUGAGAGGACAGUCCACCCCGCUUUCAGGCAAGUUUAAAAACAUGACUUCGGACUCUCUUUAUGAUUCUUGUCGCUCCACUUAAUACACCACCUCAGCGAAGAGCACUAACGACGAGGCAGUACGCCACCUGCAUGCAAUUAAAACGAGAAACCACUUGGCGGGCUGCUUUUCUUAAUUUUUUUCCCCCCUGCGAGUUAG
rnacentral:lncRNA from 1 species